ACCAUCGACAGCGACGAACUCAUCUCCUAUAUUCUUGCCGGGCUGGAUGAGGAAUACAACCCUGUUGUGACCUCUCUGGUUGCGCGGGUGGAGCCACUGACUUACGCCGAGGCCUACUCACAGCUGCUUAGCUUCGAGC